rnacentral:rRNA from 1 species
AACGAACGCUGGCGGCGCGCCUAAUACAUGCAAGUCGAGCGAGAAGACGUAGCAAUACGUUUGUAAAGCGGCGAACGGGUGAGGAAUACAUGGGUAACCUACCCUCGAGUGGGGAAUAACUAGCCGAAAGGUUAGCUAAUACCGCGUACGCUCCUUGGACUUCGGUUCAGGGAGGAAAGCGAUACCGUGGGUAUCGCGCUCUUGGAUGGGCUCAUGUCCUAUCAGCUUGUUGGGAGGUAACGGCUCACCAAGGCUUCGACGGGUAGCUGGUCUGAGAGGACAAUCAGCCACACUGGCACUGCGACACGGGCCAGACUCCUACGGGAGGCAGCAGUAAGGAAUAUUGCGCAAUGGGCGAAAGCCUGACGCAGCGACGCCGCGUGGGGGAUGAAGGUCUUCGGAUUGUAAACCCCUUUCGGGAGGGAAGAUGGAACGAGCAAUCGUUCGGACGGUACCUCCAGAAGCAGCC